GGCUCACGGACCUGCUUUGGAAUCUAUGGGGAUGGCUGUGGAUCACAUGUACACACACCAGGGUCUUCUUUGAGGCGUCCAGAGGUCAUCAGUUCUAGUGGUUUGGACAUAAAAAGUCACAACACUGCUCCCUCAGUCUGUGGGGAGACGUGGACAAGAGACCAUGACUGUGAAGAUGCCAAAAACAGGCAGGGUGGGAAAAGACUUGACAAAGAGCACAGAGAAGGGGAUAGGGAGGCAGAGAAGAGAGGAGAGAAGGAAGAGGAGAGAAGCAUGGACACCACGGGCCACGAACAAUCCUCUUUAAACAUUUACGCUUCAUCGUCCUUUCUCCUUGUGGGCAGGUAAGAGAUCAAGCGGCAGGCAAAUCACAAAAACUCAGACAUCAGAAAUGUUCCCAAAUUGCAGGGGGGGUUUUGGCAGCAAAGGAGGACAUUUUCAUCUUUGUUACCAUGCAAUAAAGACUAUUUUGGAAGUUCCUUAGGCA
rnacentral:lncRNA from 1 species